GGCUCCUGAAGCAGCUCCGGCUCCUGCGCCUCGGCUCCUCUUUGCCCAGCACCGCCUCUGCCCCGUGCUCGCCCGGCUCCUGCCCUCGAUACCCAGUCCCACAGUCCCACAGCCCUCUGCUGCUCCCCGGGGUCGCCCCCUGCCUUGAUCCGUUCCCAGCCCGGCUGUUUCUGGGGACAGGUGCUGGUGUCAUUCCUGCCCAAUUCACUCCCCCACGCACUCACAUAUUGGGUUGGGUUGAGACCUAUUGCCCCCAGGGCUCUUGGCCUCCUUGAGCCCUGUUACGGGCAGGCCUCAAAGGGUUGUAGGAAAUGGGGCCGCAUCAGGCUGGCAGAUGGUCACUAGUGGUGUCCCCUCAGGCUCCAUUUUAGGGCCACUGCUCUUCAAUGUUUUUAUAAACCAUGUCCAUGUAGGACUAGAAGGUGUUUGGAGCAAAUUUGCCAACGACACCAAACUUGGAGGAGUUGUGGACUCGGCUGAGGGUGGGCAGGCCUUGCGGAGGGAUCUGGACAGAUGGGAGAACUGGGCGAUCACCAACUGCAUGCAGUUUAACAAGAGCAAGGCCACUGCGGCCUCACCUCAAGCACUGUGUGCUGCUCUGGGCACCAUGGUACAAAAAGGAUGUAAAUCUGUUGGAGAGUGUCCAGAGGAGGGCAACGAAGAUGGUGAAGGGCCUAGAGGGGAAGAGGUAUGAGGAGCGGCUGAGGGCACUGGGCCUGUUCAGCCUGGAGAAGAGGAGGCUGAGGGGGGAGCUCAUCGUGGUGCACAACUUCCUCACAAGGGGGAGUGAUGGGGCAGGCGUUGAUCUCUUCUCUUUAGUCACCUGUGAUAGGACCUGAGGGAAUGGUGUCAAGCUGAGGCAGGGGAGGUUCAGGCUGGCCAUCAGGAAGAGAUUCUUCACCGAGAGGGUGGUCGCACACUGCAACAGGCUCCCUGGGGAAGUUGGACUCGUUGAUCCUCCUGGGUCCCUUCCAACUCGGGAUAUUCCAUCAGUCUAUGAUUCUGUUCCCCCGGGGCUCGGCCUCCUUGAGGUUUCCCACAGGGAAGUGACCGGUGCUGUGGGCUGGGUGCCCGUGUCCCUUGCUGCUCCUCUC
rnacentral:lncRNA from 1 species